UACGUAGGGUGCAAGCGUUGUCCGGAAUUAUUGGGCGUAAAGAGCUCGUAGGCGGUUUGUCGCGUCUGCUGUGAAAACCCGAGGCUCAACCUCGGGCCUGCAGUGGGUACGGGCAGACUAGAGUGCGGUAGGGGAGAUUGGAAUUCCUGGUGUAGCGGUGGAAUGCGCAGAUAUCAGGAGGAACACCAAUGGCGAAGGCAGAUCUCUGGGCCGUAACUGACGCUCAGGCACGAAAGCGUGGGGAGCGAACAGG
rnacentral:rRNA from 1 species